AUGACGAUUAUUGCUUUUUAAAUUUCACGCUCAAAGCUUGUAGAAAUACUAUAGAAUCUUCGUUAUGUCCUUGGCAAAAGUUCCGAUACAACGUGAAUAGAACGUGACUCAAUGACUAAGUGCUCAUUUGUAUUAAAUGCAUUAAUUUGGAGAGCCAGUGCGCUUCAGCAGCCAAGCAAGUGUGUGGAACAGGCAAAACACGAAAACACAAAAUUCUUGUAAAUGCAAGGACUCUUAUACGCUACCCCAAUGUACAACCCCAAACAUGUGUACAGUAAACCGAAAAAAAAAGCUCUCAUAGAGAUCAAUCGAGAGUGGAAGCUGGUAAAACUGCUAUAGACUCUUUGCUAUGCCCUUGGCAAACGUGCCAACUAUUCAAAUCUGAUGAGAAGAUGCGCUUCAGAAGGCAAGCAAUAAGUGGGUGGAAAAAGCGACGCGUUAUUUUAUCCACAACAUAUAUUCUGUUCAUCAAUGUGCCUAUCUAGAAGAGUACUGAAUAAUACUUUUACAAGUCUGAUAGAAAUCCCUUAAUAUGGCAUAUCUAGGAAGAUUACAAACAAA